ACCACUUCUCGGCCUUUGGGCUAAGAUCAAGUGUAGUAUCAGUUUUAGGACUAGAUGUUCUUCCAGUCCAUACAGGUAGCAUAAAACAAAUAAGUCCUAUUGAUCUUUGUGGUGGAGAUGUUAAAAAGAAAAGGGUUUACUUUUUAUCACAGCUGGUGAAUCUGACCAGUGUCAGUCAAAUUUUG